rnacentral:tRNA from 1 species
UGUAGUUCAGUGAUAGAGCAUGUGCCUACCAUGUACAAUGUCCUGGGUUAAAUCCCCAGCA